GCCAUGCCAGAGAGCCAAAAAGUUAGACCCUGUUUGGCCUUGGCAGAGUUAAACUGUGCUUAAGCAGCGUUAACAUGUUAGGGCCAGGUUCUCAGCUGGCGUAACUGGCGGUGAUACUUUGACAUUAAGUCAAUGGAGCUAUGCCAGUUUACACCAGCAGAGAAUCUGACUCUUUGCUUGUAGCCCAUAAAGAUGAGAACAUGGGUUGGAAUUUUCAAAGGGGUCUGGCUCUCUUACACACCCAAGUCCUAUUAACUUUCAAUGAGAUUUGAGCUGCAAAUUAAAACAUUAGCUUUGCUAAAUGCUCAGUGCUCCGAUUGCAAGCACUUUUAGUCAGAUAUUCAGCGAAACCCUAUUGUUAGCCAUAUUCAAAACCUCUCAAUGUACCAACAUGCAUACACAGCGCGGUUGAUGCUAUAGGAAUAACCCCUCCUCAGACCAGAAUGGCUCCCUGAAGUUUUCAUAUUGGGCAUUUUGGCUUCAAAAUCUCUGUGCUGUCAGUGAUGAGGACCAAGUGGCGUAUACCAGGGCAGGUGACCACACAAUGGCUAGACCAGAUGUGCCAUCUAUAGGCCUGAGCCUAUUCCAUUGAAGUCAACGGCAGACUGCCCAUGGGGAGCCCUGUUGGAAGAUGUAGCUUCUAGAGGGCCCAACCACGAUCAGUGCCCCAGCGAGCCAGACAUGUCCACACCCAGACAGCAAGAGACAAUCCCUGGCCUGAGGGACUUACAGUCGGAUAGACGUCACAGUCAAAAUAGGAGCCAGCUGAAGAGAGGGAACUUAGGGGAAGACAUGAAGAAACACCAAGGAAUAUAGGAGAGAAAAACAAGGAUCAGGAAAGAGGGCCCAGCAGUGAAAAAGAGAAACAUUUUCUAUUUUCCCCCCUGUGAUUCAUGAUAACUCCAUGUAUUUAUAGUCUGGAAAUUUACAGCGGCCGCUUAAUCACUCAACUCUCAUUCUCUUGAGA